rnacentral:rRNA from 1 species
GCCUUGGCUCUUCGGAAGAUAUGGCUUGUGACUGAGCGGCGGACGGGUGAGUAACGCGUGGGUAACCUGCCUCACACAGGGGGAUAACAGCUAGAAAUGGCUGCUAAUACCGCAUAAGCGCACAGUGCCGCGUGGCACAGUGUGAAAAACUCCGGUGGUGUGAGAUGGACCCGCGUCUGAUUAGGUAGUUGGUAAGGUAACGGCUUACCAAGCCGACGAUCAGUAGCCGGCCUGAGAGGGUGGACGGCCACAUUGGGACUGAGACACGGCCCAGACUCCUACGGGAGGCAGCAGUGGGGAAUAUUGCACAAUGGGGGAAACCCUGAUGCAGCGACGCCGCGUGAAGGAAGAAGUAUCUCGGUAUGUAAACUUCUAUCAGCAGGGAAGAAAAUGACGGUACCUGACUAAGAAGCCCCGGCUAACUACGUGCCAGCAGCCGCGGUAAUACGUAGGGGGCAAGCGUUAUCCGGAUUUACUGGGUGUAAAGGGAGCGUAGACGGAAGGGCAAGUCUGGAGUGAAAGCCCGGGGCUCAACCCCGGGACUGCUUUGGAAACUGUCCGUCUUGAGUGCCGGAGAGGUAAGCGGAAUUCCUAGUGUAGCGGUGAAAUGCGUAGAUAUUAGGAGGAACACCAGUU